rnacentral:rRNA from 1 species
CAGCCGCCGCGGGAAUACGUAGGGUGCAAGCGUUAAUCGGAAUUACUGGGCGUAAAGCGUGCGCAGGCGGUUCGCUAAGACAGAUGUGAAAUCCCCGGGCUUAACCUGGGAACUGCAUUUGUGACUGGCGGGCUAGAGUAUGGCAGAGGGGGGUAGAAUUCCACGUGUAGCAGUGAAAUGCGUAGAGAUGUGGAGGAAUACCGAUGGCGAAGGCAGCCCCCUGGGCCAAUACUGACGCUCAUGCACGAAAGCGUGGGGAGCAAACAGGAUUAGAUACCCCUGUAGUCCCUGUCUCUUAUAC